CUUCCAGUAUCUGAGAGUCCUAGUACGUCCCUCUGAGUCCUGGGGAGUAGAGAAUAGCAGCUCCCACCAGUUCAGCUUCAACACAAACCAUGUUCCCUGCAUCUCUACUGCUGAUGCUGGCAGCUGUAUCCUGUGCCCACUGUCAGGUCGUACUCACACAGGCUGAACAGUCAGUCCAGGGGACCCCUGCAGGAUCCCUCAAACUCACAUGUGCCUGUAGUGGAUUCACUCUAAGCAGCAGUUACAUGCACUGGAUCCGCCAGGCACCUGGAAAAGGACUUGAAUGGAUCAUUUACUAUUACUCUGAUAGUAACAAGAGCAAUGCCCCUGUAGUACAGGGUAGAUUCACAGCGUUGAAGGACAGCACUAAUUUCUAUCUGCACAUGAACCUGUUGAAGCCAGAGGACUCCGCAGUGUAUUACUGUGCUAGAGACUCACUACGGUUAAACUAAUGAGAAUAGCUGUACAAAAACCAUCUGGUAGAGAAAGGAAGAACCUGCACAAACACACAGACACACGUAUGGUAGGACCUGUAGACCAUGACAAGGGGAUACAUGAGGAACAAUUCUAAUGAUGUAUCAAAUAAUAACCCAAUGAUACACCUGUUAAAAACAUGGUGCUAGUGUUGUUGAUGCACCAACAGGGGACAGUCACUCUCCAUGUGAAAAAAUAAAGACCAGUACUGAUGAA